rnacentral:lncRNA from 10 species
CGCGGAAAAGGGCGGACGCGUGGCCCACGCACUGGAACGGCUCCACGAGUCUGUCACCCAGGUUGGAGUGCGGUGGUGUGAUCUUGGCUCCCUGCAACCUCCACCUCCCAGGUUCAAGCGAUUCUCCUGCCUCAGCCUCCCAAGUAGCUGCGAUUACAGGCACCCACCACCAUGAAGAAUGGCAUUUUUAAAAGAUGGCUUUCUUAAAAAAGGAUACUCAGUUGCUCUUCUACUCAUACCAAGGUCAUGAAAAGUGCCAAGGAUAAAACUGGCCUUGAACCAGCUAUCUUUGGAGCAAGAAGACCAAAGAAGGAACCAUCUGAUUGCUUGGAUAAAGUGUUGUUAAAAAAGGAGAGAGACAAAACAGAACCAUCUGGUCAAGGACUUGCUGGCUUCUGAUGUCUGCCUGUUCUCUUGAGGCUAAGGUAACUAUGAAAAAGGGCAUGUUGCCAGGGUUAUCCCUGGCAGCAGGAGGGAGCUGUUAAAGGCCCCAGGCCAGUUGAGACAUCCAUCAAGAAAUAUCUUUCAACUGUAAGUAUAGAAGCCUAUGAAUGACCACGAAAUCACCAGAGGAGUUAAGUAAGAUCAUGUUUCCAAACCAAGCUUUAUAUAUCCCAGUGUCCUUUGGAAGGUCUUCAGAUGUAAUCAUGGAUCAAAUUGGCAACUUUCAAAGAAUCAUGGAGAACAUGAGAGACACCUACAGACUGAAGAUGGGCAAAUAUGUCAUUUUUCAAAAAAACUUUUAAAGUUAGAUUCUGGAAAUCAAAUACCAAGAGUACUUAAGAGCGAUUCCUAACAAUGAGCUAUGGCAAAGCACCUCAUUACGCAUCACUGAUGAGGUUAGUAGAGGACAAAAUGAGUUAUACC